rnacentral:rRNA from 1 species
AUGGAGCAAGGCUGUCGCGAAGCCGCCGUCGCGGGCAGAGAUCUGCAGAAGACGGGCGCGGAGACCGUGACAGAUAGCGUGGAGACCCUCGUCGGCGGCGCGGGUGUAGGAGCUGCUGCAUCCCCACGCGCUGGAUCGGUCGCUGCGGCGGUGGAUCUGGAGGAGAAGAAGGUGGUCGUGGCGGACUCCACCGUGGCGGACUCAGCCGUGCCGGUGCUUGGCGUGACGGCGUCGAGCGGCCCGUCUGAUGGACCUGCGGAGGCCGGCGGCGAGCACGUUGACCUGCAGAAGGAGGAUCUUGUUGGCAAGAAGAGGAAGUGGGACUCAUCUGGCUACUACCCUUAUGACAGUGAUGAGGAUGAGCCGUACGAGUAUCAAUCUGGAGAUGAUGUGGUCGAGGGGAACGUCGAGUCGUUUGAAGAGAAGGAGGUGCUGAAGAUUAGGGCCCAAGGAUCUGCUAGGUACUACAACUGGAGGUCUGACAAGUACCGGUGCCCCUACUACAGCAGGCCCAAGCCCAGGUCUGGGUUGCUGGAGCAUCAGAUGGAGCAUUGUCGGGCUACAUCCAUCAGCAUUCAUGACUACAAGAUCAGGGCUCAGCAUUCUGCCCUCCACAAGGUCUUGAGAAACCCUGACAUGUAG